AUACGGAGGAUGCAAGCGUUAUCCGGAUUUAUUGGGUUUAAAGGGUGCGUAGGCGGACAGUCAAGCAGGGGGUGAAAUGCCGGCGCUCAACGCCGGAGCUGCCUUCUGAACUGGCUGUCUGGAGUGGCAGUGCCGUUGGAGGACUGAGUGGUGUAGCGGUGAAAUGCUUAGAUAUCACUCAGAACACCGAUUGCGAAGGCAUCUGACGAACUGCCCACUGACGCUGAGGCACGAAAGCGUGGGGAUCAAACAGGAUUAGAUACCCUGGUAGUCCACGCAGUAAACGAUGAUGGCUAACCGCUGGGCUUAUCAGUUCAGUGGCCAAGCGAAAGCGAUAAGCCAUCCACCUGGGGAGUACGACCGCAAGGUUGAAACUCAAAUGAAUUGACGGGG
rnacentral:rRNA from 1 species